AGCAGCCGCGGUAAUUCCAGCUCCAAUAGCGUAUAUUAAAGUUGUUGCAGUUAAAAAGCUCGUAGUUGAAUUUCGGGGUUCCACCGUUGGUCGGGCUAUUGUCCGUACUGGCGUGUGGAAUUUCUACCUUCUGGGGAACUAUCAUGUUAUUAAUUUAGCGUGGUAGGAAACCAGGACCUUUACCUUGAAAAAAUUAGAGUGUUCAAAGCAGGCUUAUGUCUGAAUACAUUAGCAUGGAAUAAUAAAAUAGGACGGUGGUCCUGUUUUGUUGGUUUCUGAAUCACCGUAAUGAUUAAUAGGGAUAGUUGGGGGCAUUAGUAUUCAAUUGUCAGAGGUGAAAUUCUUGGAUUUAU
rnacentral:rRNA from 1 species